UACGUAGGGACCGAGCGUUGUCCGGAAUCAUUGGGCGUAAAGAGCGUGUAGGCGGCCUUUUAAGUCCUGCGUGAAAUCCUGCGGCUCAACCGCAGACGGUCGUGGGAAACUGGAAGGCUAGAGUGCGGGAGAGGAGAGUGGAAUUCCCGGUGUAGCGGUGAAAUGCGCAGAUAUCGGGAAGAACACCCGUGGCGAAGGCGGCUCUCUGGAACGCGACUGACGCUGAGACGCGAAAGCGUGGGGAGCAGACAGG
rnacentral:rRNA from 1 species